UACAGAGGGUGCGAGCGUUGUCCGGAAUCACUGGGCGUAAAGGGCGCGUAGGUGGCCCGACAAGUCUGUGGUGAAAGCUCGACGCUCAACGUCGAGUCGGCCAUAGAUACUGUUGGGCUGGAGCACUGUAGAGGCUCAUGGAAUUCCGGGUGUAGCGGUGGAAUGCGUAGAGAUCCGGAAGAACACCGGUGGCGAAGGCGGUCUGCUGGGCAGUUGCUGACACUGAGGCGCGACAGCGUGGGGAGCAAACAGG
rnacentral:rRNA from 1 species